AGGCAGGCGGAGGAGGAAGGAGGAAGAGUGGAGGCCCAGGCAGGCGGGCUCUAGGCCUUUGGAUCCUGGGCCUCGACUCCCCUUCCUCUCCUCGGCACUCACUCCUUGGGGGGCAGGCGGCCCAGUGACAGCAGUGACCUUCAGGGCGCCCUGAAGACCAUGGAGGCCUCCUGAUGAAUCACCUCUGACCUUUAGCCCCUGGAUGGGGGUAUAAAUCACUAGAAAAGGGGAACAAUGGGGAGGAGACAAAAUGGCUGCCCCCGGAGCCGCAGCAGGAUUUGGAAACACACUUGUUCGCCAGGUACUUCCAUUCUCUUCCCGCCUCGGGAAGGUGAAAGAAAUAAAGUGUGGAUCGGAA